UUUGCCUUUUUUGUUUUUUCCGUUCCUAUGGCUUGCCAUCACCACCAGAUGGCACCGUGGAGGCUAGGAUAGGAGGACUGAAGGGCUGACGUCACCGUCACACCGGUUCCCAAUCCACUCGUCAGCGGGACUUCAAGAGACGGCGACUGCCAGCAUACCAACGCUUGAGUAUUAGCCAGUAAUGCUGUUCCUGCAACUUCAAGUCUGGCUGUAGUCCCGAGUUUCCCUUGCGACGCCGUGGGCACGUUACCCGUUGGUGCCCAAGGCCACCACUCACCUUUUCCUCCGUGAAACAAGAAGAAGUGUCUGGGAAUCCAAGCAGGCAGUCCGCUCGCUCUCCUUGACGACGUCAGGAUCCUAUUACCUGUCCGCCCUCCACCGCAGCACAACCUCCACCUCCAGCGCCCCCACACCUGGCCACGCCGUUGUUUUUUCUCCUCUCCGAAAGUCCUGGCUUACCUGUCUGUCGCCGUCCCUUCGAUGAUUGAGAGCCUACCCUGGAAAUCUUUUGUUAAUAAAUCACUUUAACUGAU